AGAAUCAACGCUGGCGGCGUGCCUAACACAUGCAAGUCGAACGAGAAAGUGGAGCAAUCCAUGAGUACAGUGGCGUACGGGUGAGUAACACGUGACUAACCUACCCUCGAGUGGGGAAUAACCUCGGGAAACCGGGGCUAAUACCGCAUAAUAUCUUCGGAUCAAAUGCGUAAGCAGCUUGAGGAGGGGGUCGCGGCCGAUUAGCUAGUUGGCGGGGUAAUGGCCCACCAAGGCAAUGAUCGGUAGCCGGCCUGAGAGGGCGCACGGCCACACUGGAACUGAAACACGGUCCAGACUCCUACGGGAGGCAGCAGUGGGGAAUUUGCGCAAUGGGGGAAACCCUGACGCAGCAACGCCGCGUGGAGGAUGAAGCCCCUUGGGGUGUAAACUCCUUUCGAUCGGGACGAUUAUGACGGUACCGGAUGAAGAAGCACCGGCUAACUCUGCGCCAGCAGCCGC
rnacentral:rRNA from 1 species